rnacentral:rRNA from 1 species
AGUCGAGCGCACCUUCGGGUGAGCGGCGGACGGGUUAGUAACGCGUGGGAACGUACCCAGAUCUGCGGAAUAGCCACUGGAAACGGUGAGUAAUACCGCAUACGCCCUUCGGGGGAAAGAUUUAUCGGAUUUGGAUCGGCCCGCGUUAGAUUAGAUAGUUGGUGGGGUAAUGGCCUACCAAGUCUACGAUCUAUAGCUGGUUUUAGAGGAUGAUCAGCAACACUGGGACUGAGACACGGCCCAGACUCCUACGGGAGGCAGCAGUGGGGAAUCUUGGACAAUGGGCGCAAGCCUGAUCCAGCCAUGCCGCGUGAGUGAAGAAGGCCCUAGGGUCGUAAAGCUCUUUCGCCAGGGAUGAUAAUGACAGUACCUGGUAAAGAAACCCCGGCUAACUCCGUGCCAGCAGCCGCGGUAAUACGGGAGGGGGGUUAGCGUUGUUCGGAAUUACUGGGCGUAAAGCGCGCGUAGC